AUGAAGUAUUUGGGGGAACUC
rnacentral:miRNA from 1 species